UACAGAGGUCUCAAGCGUUGUUCGGAUUCAUUGGGCGUAAAGGGUGUGUAGGUGGCGCCGUAAGUCGGGUGUGAAAUUUCGGAGCUUAACUCCGAAACUGCAUUCGAUACUGCGGUGCUUGAGGACUGGAGAGGAGACUGGAAUUCAUGGUGUAGCAGUGAAAUGCGUAGAUAUCGUGAGGAAGACCAGUGGCGAAGGCGGAUCUCUGGACAGUUCCUGACGCUGAGGCACGAAGGCCAGGGGAGCAAACGGG
rnacentral:rRNA from 1 species